GUGCUCACUUCGGCAGCACAUACACUAAAAUUGGAACGAUACAGAGAAGAUUAGCGUGGCCUCCGCACAAGAAUGACUCUCAAAUUCAUGAAGCAUUUCAUAUUUUU
ensembl:snRNA U6 U6 spliceosomal RNA